CCCGAUUCUUCCUCCUCUCUCACGCCGUUUACUCUCUGCUCUUCUUCUUCUCCUCAUCUUCUCCAACCGGCGCCCCUUUCUCUUCUUCCGCGUCAUCUUCCCUCCUCUGCCGUCGUCUCCUCGUCGCGGAGGUCCUCACCACGCCGAUUGUCACGAGAGCACCGCCGGCAGCAGUCCUUCUCUCCGCGAGCCUCACCAACACCAAGCUCUCUGGGCUAUCAGGCGGCCCGAUCCUCUUCUACUUUUCCCCUUGAGUCUCUGCCCUAGAUGCAGCCGGCGUCAUCGCAUCCGACCACAGUACCUGCAAUUUUGGGCGGCUAGCGUCGCCGCCAUCUCUUUCACCGGCUGCCACUUCUUCCUCUUCCAUCUGCCACCGUCGGAGAGCUGAGUACACAGGAGAGUAGGGUUGUUCUUCCGCGUAUCAGCAGUUGCGAGGGGUUACCACGCGUUGCCCCCUUCAAUUGUGCCGUGGCCAUCCGGUCAGCCACAAGGAGAUCCAUUGCUGCGGUGACCCCAUUUGUGCUUGGAUUUGUGCCACUGUCGUGUAUCGGUGAAUUCUGAGGCGGUGAGGGUUGUUGGACAGAUUUACCAUCGUCGGAAGAGCCACAAACUGCUGAUAAGGGUAGUAAUCUGAACCUGAUCAGAUUUAUUAGGUUGUUUCUUUUAUCAUGUUGGAUGUGUGUUAUGUUUCUUAUUGAAUGCUUAUAUCAAACUUGAUCUCCCUUAAUUAGAAUGCACGCACUUGGCUUUAAUUGUUUCAUGCACCCAACUUGUUUGAUAAAAUGUUCCGUAGUUAGGUUCUAAUUUUUGCAUGUCAUGUGUUCAUUUCACGUUCGGUGAAAUGUCUCUUUCAAUAGUUAGGUUCAAUCUGAUGCAUCUUAGUUUACUUAACUCUUGCUUUGUAUUGCUCUUUCAAUUGUUAAGUUUUAUGUCUUCAUUUAAAUUCAAUUAGGUUAAGUUAGAUUAGGUUUCUUUAAUGCUCUAAGUUUUGUUCCAUGCUUAGUUUCGUUAAUUACUUCAUGUUGACUAUUAUUUUCUGCAAUUGUAUUUUAUUCAUUAGGUUUGAUUUCAUAGUUGCUUUG